AAAGAAGCUGCCUUCCAGAACACCGGGUUGCUCAGCAAGAAGCUCCUCUUUAUUUAUAAAGCGAUAAUGAGAGUAUUUAAAUUGUAUCUGAAGCACUGCCCGGUGUCUCUGGAGCAGCCUGUGGGCGAUGGCAGUGCUGGGAGCAGGGAAGGGUGGGUGAAAGCCCUGGGAUCCCCCCACCUUUGUGCCACCAGCAGCUCAUGGAGCCCUCCAGAGGGGAGCAGGCUUGAUGGAAAACUCCUGGGACAAAGAGCCACCUCCUUUCAGCUCCACACUUGCAGGGUCAACACUAAGGCUGAGACACCCAUCGACUUGGUCAGCGGUGACCUUUGAGAGAGCGAAUUGGCUGGAACCAUCUCCCGAGGGAAGGAGGGACUCUGAAAUGAUUCCAUGCAUUUGCUUCAGCAGGAUGGCACAGACUCAGCACUCCUGAGUCGCGUGGACUGACACUGAUCCCUGCAGAGCCACGAACAUCUGCUCUAGGGAGGCCGUUCUGCCAGUGCUUGGGAGAAGGAUG